rnacentral:rRNA from 1 species
UAAGGAGGGUGCAAGCGUUAUCCGGAUUCACUGGGUUUAAAGGGCGCGUAGGUGGGCAGGUAAGUCCGUGGUGCAAUCCUAUAGCUUAACUAUAGAACUGCCAUGGAUACUAUUUGUCUUGAAUGUCGUAGAGGUAAGCGGAAUAUGUCAUGUAGCGGUGAAAUGCUUAGAUAUGACAUAGAACACCAAUUGCGAAGGCAGCUUACUAUGCGAUGAUUGACACUGAGGCACGAAAGCGUGGGUAGCAAACAGG